rnacentral:rRNA from 1 species
UUNNGGUUGUACCUGCCGGAGGUCACUGCUAUCAGGAUUCGAUUAAGACAUGCAAGGUGUAUGUGGUUCGCCCACAUGCCGAACGGCUCAGUAACACGUAGUUAAUCUACCCUCAGGUUGGGGAUAACCCCGGGAAACUGGGAUCAAUACCCAAUAGGUUUUGGAUACUGGAAUGUUCCAAAAUUUAAAGCUCCGGCGCCUGAGGAUGAGACUGCGGUGGAUUAGGCUGUUGUUGGUAUAAUGGACCAACAAACCUGUAAUCCAUACGGGCGUUGAGAGACGAAGCCCGGAGACGUGUUCUGAGACAAGAACACGGGCCCUACGGGGCGCAGCAGUCGCGAAACCUUUACAAUGUCUUCACGGACGAUAGGGGAAUCCUGAGUGCUCUAGCAUUGCUAGAGCUUUUGCCUACUGAAAAAGGGUAGGCGAAUAAGUGGUGGGUAAGACGGGUGCCAGCCGCCGCGGUAAUACCCGCGCCACAAGUGGUGACCACGUUUAUUGGGUCUAAAGCGUUCGUAGCCGGCCUGAUAAAUUCUCGGUGAAAUCCUGUGUAAAUCAUAGGGCGUGCCGGGAAGACUGUCAAGCUAGGAACCGGGAGAGGCUGAGGGUACUCCAGGAGUAGGGGUUAAAUACCGAAAGAGGUUUAACCUCACGGUUUAACAGUCCUGUAAUUCUUGGAGGACCACCGGUGGCGAAAGCGCUCAGCUGGAACGGCUUCGACGGUGAGGGACGAAAGCCAGGGGAGCGAACGGGAUUAGAUAAAGCCUUUUCUUUUUCGAAAAAGAAAGCCUUUAGGGAAAGAAAAACAAAAGUCUUUUUUCUUUUUGAACCCAAGGGCCUUUUUCUUUUGAAAAAAGAAAAGGGGCUUCUAGAUACCCCGGUAGUCCUGGCUGUAAACGAUGCCCGCUUGGUGUAUCGCUUCCUUCGUAGAAGUGAUGUGCCGUAGCGUAGAACCCUUUACUCAGCGUAAAGCUUAACUAACGGCUGAGGGGGGUACGCAAGUGUUAAGCGGGCCACCUGGGGAGUACGGUCGCAAGGCUGAAACUUAAGGAAAUUGGCGGGGGAGCACCUCAAGGGGUGGAGGCUGCGGUUCAAUUGGAUUCAACGCCAGACAUCUCACCAGGAGCGACAGCAGUAUGACGGUCACUCUGAAGGGGUUACCUGACGCGCUGAGAGGAGUUGCAUGGCCAUCGUCAGCUCGUGCCGUGAGGCGUGCAGUUAAGUCUGUUAACGAGCGAGACCCACACCCUUAGUUGCUACGCUAUUCUCCGGAGUAGCGGCACUCUAAGGGGACCGCUAGCGAUAAGUCAGAGGAAGGAGUGGGCGACGGUAGGUCUGUAUGGCCCGAAUCUCCUGGGCUACACGCGGCUUACAAUGGCCAGGACAAUAGGUUGCAACAUCGAAAGGUGGAGCUAAUCCCUGAAACCUGGUCUUAGUUCCGAUCGAGGGCUGAAACUCGCCCUCGUGAAGCCGGAAUCCCUAGUAAGCGAAAGUCACUAAAUCUUUUACUCAGCGCAAGAGAUUUAUCAAAACUGGCUGGG